rfam:Valsa mali var. pyri strain SXYL134 unplaced genomic scaffold scaffold00042, whole genome shotgun sequence.
UCAGCUCUCUUUGCCUUUUGGCUUAGAUCAAGUGUAGUAUCUGUUCUUUUCAGUUUAAUCUCUGAAAGUACUCUACGGAGUACAAUCGUGAUUAUUCUUAUUUUUGUCUCCAGGUGGAUGGCCCUCUGGGCUUGCCCAUGGCUGUCUACCACUGUGUCCUCGGUACCACACUGCCUCCGAGUGACGCGACCCAUC